rnacentral:rRNA from 1 species
GGGGAAUAUUGCACAAUGGGCGAAAGCCUGAUGCAGCAACGCCGCGUGAGCGAUGAAGGCCUUCGGGUCGUAAAGCUCUGUCCUCAAGGAAGAUAAUGACGGUACUUGAGGAGGAAGCCCCGGCUAACUACGUGCCAGCAGCCGCGGUAAUACGUAGGGAGCAAGCGUUGUCCGGAUUUACUGGGUGUAAAGGGUGCGUAGGCGGAUUGGCAAGUCAGAAGUGAAAUCCAUGGGCUUAACCCAUGAACUGCUUUUGAAACUGUUAAUCUUGAGUGAAGUAGAGGUAGGCGGAAUUCCCGGUGUAGCGGUGAAAUGCGUAGAGAUCGGGAGGAACACCAGUGGCGAAGGCGGCCUACUGGGCUUUAACUGACGCUGAGGCACGAAAGUGUGGGUAGCAAACAGGAUUAGAUACCCUGGUAGUCCACACCGUAAACGAUGAUUACUAGGUGUGGGGGGUCUAACCCCCUCCGUGCCGGAGUUAACACAAUAAGUAAUCCACCUGGGGAGUACGACCGCAAGGUUGAAACUCAAAGGAAUUGACGGGGGCCCGCACAAGCAGUGGAGUAUGUGGAUUAAUUCGACGCAACGCGAAGAACCUUACCAGGUCUUGACAUCCAACUAACGAAGUAGAGAUACAUCAGGUGCCCUUCGGGGAAAGUUGAGACAGGUGGUGCAUGGUUGUCGUCAGCUCGUGUCGUGAGAUGUUGGGUUAAGUCCCGCAACGAGCGCAACCCUUGUUUCUAGUUGCUACGCAAGAGCACUCUAGAGAGACUGCCGUUGACAAAACGGAGGAAGGUGGGGACGACGUCAAAUCAUCAUGCCCUUUAUGACCUGGGCCUCACACGUACUACAAUGGCCGUUAACAGAGGGAAGCAAUACCGCGAGGUGGAGCAAAACCCUAAAAACGGUCUCAGUUCGGAUUGUAGGCUGCAACCCGCCUGCAUGAAGUUGGAAUUGCUAGUAAUCGCGGAUCAGCAUGCCGCGGUGAAUACGUUCCCG